UGUUUUUGCGUUCUAAGAAAUGACCGCAUACCAACUCGGCCAGCAUUCAGUACUUGUGAUCACGUUACCUCAGGCCAGACGCGGCCUCGACGGCACUUUUGUUCUUCUUCUUCGCCAAGUUUUGUUCUCGGAUCAGGCACUCAAGUACGGCUUCUCUUGAUUCUUCAGUUUCCCACGGCCGGCGGUUAACGUGUUGCGAUCAGCGCGGUUCACCGUAGCGCAACGGAGGUAUUAACUGGCCAACUGUUGUGUACAAUGGUCGCGAACUUUGCACGGCCUCGAAACAAUGGAAUAAGCGAGAUUACUGUCGCGCGACCUCUUUUCGUCACCUUGUUUGUUAUACUCGUUUGCGCACGUACUUACACUUGUUCCCGCUGACGCAAUUACUGGCUCUCGAGGAGGUCCAGCCAUGCCCUUGCCUUUUUAAUGGUAGUCGUACAGGCGUGUAGAGCGUAGUAGUUUGCUGUAUACGGCGAGCGAUAGCACUGUGAGAUUAUUGACUGGGGCUGGGGCUUUCGGUGCCUGGUUUACAAGUCGUUGUGUCUGGUCGGGAACGUUCCUGAUAAGGAUGUAUAGCGUCGAGUUACCACGCGCUGCAUUUCCCCUUUGAGCUCUUUCAAGCAGCUACAAGCUGACGUCCGGCUGUUGCUCAAUAAUCAGUUAGCGCUGGUUAAUCAAUGAAGAGCUAGCGUUGUAGAGUUAGACGUGUUAGGAAAGAAGUGCGCAACAUUGAGUUAAUCAUCGAUGCAUCUUAACCUAAAUAGAUCGUAAAUACCAAGUCCGUCUUGGUUGGGUUCCCCCUCAAGACUGUAUAUAGUUCUUCAACGCGAAAUCGCAGGAAAAGUUUGAGAGAGAGAGAGAGAGAUCGCUCUGUGUUCUAUCUCUGAGGCAUCCCAUCGUGUGCGCUGUGUUCGCCAUGCUGCUCAAGCAAAAAGAAGAAGAAAAAAAGAAAGAAAAGAAAGGAGCGAGGAUCCAUCGAAGCCCUCUUGAGUUCUAGAGUACCCUUCGCGACUCGACAAGGGGUCUCAGCACGCGGUAGAGGGGGGGUAGCGCCGCCCAAGGGUCGUAGCAGAGAGUCGGCUGGGACACGUGCAGGGAUUUUUUGUGCAAUCCUUUUCUCUCUCUCUCUGUCGUUAUAGCUCGGCACGCAGUGCUGCUGCUCAGGCGGUCGUGCCGACCUAACAGCAGCUGCAGGCGACUGACGACAGAGACGUGAACUCGUUGCACGCGUAAAGCACUCGACGCAUGCGCGCCUUGUCCUAGAUUGGAACGUGCCAGCAGGGGAGUGCCGAGCAGUGAACCCCAAGCAUCUUUUUCACACACACAAAGAAAAAAAGAGGUAGAAAAGAUGGAAUGAUUAGUGACGCUUCCACCUUGACAUUCCGUGACGUCAUAGAGUAUUUACAGCGUCUGCUGGAGGGUGUAUAGCUAAUCAUUCCGCGUACCUAUCAAAAAAAAAAAAAAAGAAAGAAAGAAAGAAAGAAAGAAAGAAAGAAAGAAAGGGAGGGCUGAAUUCAAAAGUCAACGCCCAUACUGACAACCACUGGGACAUCCUUGCAAAAGGAAAGGAAAAGAACGACAAAGAAGAAGAAAAAUACAUCUUGGCCUAAGUGUAUACUCUGUGAUACUGUGAAAUGCUCGACGUCAGAAUGACGUAAUCAGUGUCAUGGCUUCGCGCGAAAUUCUAAAAGGGAAAAGAUUAAACCGCAGAUGAGCUGGUUAUCAGAGGAGAAAUGCGAGGGCAAAUUUGAUUUGGACUUCUAUACUCAGCUAUUUUUAUUUUUUUCAGUGACACGGAAGUUGAAUCUAUACCGGCCUAAGCUUAUUCGACGAUUUGAAUCGCAACGGAGGCGUUGUCGACGCAUAUGCCGCUUUGCAUUGUCAUAAAUAUAGAGAGAUUCUUCCGCACCGCGCUCCUGUAGCUGCGUCCGCGCUCCUGAAUAAAGUCAAGCCGGAGGUUGGAAAAGUGCUACUGCCGAAAGCGAAAGCCCCGCGUACCUAUGUGUUUAGUCAUAUCAUCGUGUAUACGUAGUUCGCAUUCUUUCCACAAUGCAGGGCGCUGAGUUUCUUAACCCCUUUACGGUAUACUCAUUAUCUAACUCUUCAGUCAUUUCUAAUUGCUCUCUCCGCACCUCACGUACCUUACCGUCUCUGGCACACCGCUGCAGGUGCACCAUUAAUGCUGGGAGAAGAAAAAAAGGAAAUCAAGCCCGAUUAACAAUCAGUACCCACCGAGGGCCACCGCGAGAGAUCAGUCUUCGAGAUUGCGGAAAGCUAUAGCGAGAAAAUGGGAGAAAGAACACGCCGCCGUCGUUGUUCGUGUGCUCGCGAGCUUUUGCGGCGGCUUGAGCCCGUUCGUCGCAGUGCUGGUCAGUCCCGCGUUAUCUGUAAUGCGCCUGCGUAGCACCGUGCCGGUGCUCUCGCCAUCGCCUGGCCGCCCACGAACUCCAUUACGUGUCACGUAUAGCGUGCAGUAGGGCGAAUAUUAUAGUACGCCAAGAAACGCUGAAACAAAAAUUACUGUUUAGCGUAAAAUAAAAGAAAAAAUUAAUUACCCUCGGCAAGUUCCGCUGCACAUGCUACAUCAUCUUCAAUCUGCGCAGGUUCACUGGAAAGUGUCGAGGCGUAUUCGUGAGCCGGUAAUUAUACGUGACGAGAUGAACUAGUUGUAAUCGUAAAACACGCAGCUUAACUUCACCGAGGAAACAGCGGGAGUCUACCACGCAACAUAACUGAAUAUAAACGAAGAAAGGACGAUAGAAUAAGUAGCAGUCACGUAAGCUAUCCUUAUUUCCUACAAUGGUGCAUAAAGUCUAGUGUGUUGCGCUAAUUUUGCCCUCGUAAUCUUUGUACGAAACUAUUCUUCUCGGUCGACCUCAUUCGGGAAAUUGCGCACUGCGAAUUGGAAAGAACACUUGGCCUGUUCUGAAAUAGCGAUCGCUGCAGAUGUGUAAAUCAGGGCCUGGGUCACUGCUAUUACUCUAUAGUUAUUUUGAAAAAUCCUGCUCAAGAUCUACAAAAGAGCAAAGAAAACGGCUAGCUGCAAACAGAAAUGUUGUGUUCCCGUUCAUAUUGGCGCACCGUGUACUUUCAUUUUUGUGAGACGUAUAACGCUAAGUGCAAUGCUGAACUAGAGCGACAGGCAGCCUGUCAGUAUUGCUGACGAGGAAAAGUAGCGCAAGACGCAAGACAACUGUAUUGCGCAAGCUUUCCUCGUCAGCAAUAUAAGACCAACUAGUCCCAUGAGCGCCGAAGGUG